rnacentral:lncRNA from 1 species
AUGCAGUUAACAGACACAUCAGCCAUUCCACCCUCCAAGCAUUUGAGAGGCCAUCUGCACACACACCACCAAGCCUUCUGCCACCAGGAAGUGGUCACUUCCUCCUUUGCUGCAGAGUAUCCUCAUGAUGAUGGAAUGAGCAAGAAUAAAUGGACUGACUCAAGAGUAAGAGGAAACCUCAGAUCAACCAUGAAGAGAAUGAUCUCAUCUAGGAAAUCUACUCAACAGUUGCAGACCCACCUACCUCUGACAUUCUAUGACUCUCUGAAAUUAGAAUAUAUGCCUGAGAAGAAAAAGAAGACAAGAAGGGAAAAUAUAGGGCAUCGGGGUGUAGGGAAGCCUCCAAAGACAACGACACUCCCCCUUGAUUUAAGACUCUGGCCUUUGAGAUUUAUAUAACCCACAUUUUAUCAGUCUGUCUGGCUUUUUUCUAAUCUUAUGGUAAAGCAGCGGCAAUGAAACCACAGGGGAGAGCUCAUCUCUCUUGCAAAGGAACACACUAAACACAUUAAAGAGGAAUUAGAAAAGGCCUGGGGUUUGCUUUCUGUUUGCUUAAUGGACAUCAGUUGCCUGUUAAC